rnacentral:rRNA from 1 species
AGUGAACGCUGGCGGUAGGCCUAACACAUGCAAGUCGAACGGCAGCACAGUAAGAGCUUGCUCUUACGGGUGGCGAGUGGCGGACGGGUGAGGAAUGCAUCGGAAUCUACUUUUUCGUGGGGGAUAACGUAGGGAAACUUACGCUAAUACCGCAUACGACCUACGGGGGAAAGCAGGGGAUCUUCUGACCUUGCGCGAUUGAAUGAGCCGAUGUCGGAUUAGCUAGUUGGCGGGGUAAAGGCCCACCAAGGCGACGAUCCGUAGCUGGUCUGAGAGGAUGAUCAGCCACACUGGAACUGAGACACGGUCCAGACUCCUACGGGAGGCAGCAGUGGGGAAUAUUGGACAAUGGGCGCAAGCCUGAUCCAGCCAUACCGCGUGGGUGAAGAAGGCCUUCGGGUUGUAAAGCCCUUUUGUUGGGAAAGAAAAGCAGCAGGUUAAUACCCCGCUGUUCUGACGGUACCCAAAGAAUAAGCACCGGCUAACUUCGUG